GGAUUCGGAUGAUGAGAUUUCCAUGCACCACUCUUAAACCAGUAAUGGUUAAAUGACGAUUAUGGAUAUUCUGACCAAUA